rnacentral:ncRNA from 1 species
AUCAGUGCCGGUCGUUUGGGACCGGUGAAAAGGGAAACGGGUGGAAGUCCCGUGCGGUGCCGCCGCUGUAAGCGCAUAAAAGGCAGUCUGCAUUUCACUGUAUCAUUAUGGGAAGAAAUCGGACAACAUUGCCGCGCAAGCCAGAAGACCUGCUUUUUCCA